UAACACGUGGGCAACCUGCCUAUGAGACUGGGAUAACUCCGGGAAACCGGGGCUAAUACCGGAUAAUUCUUUUCUACACAUGUAGAAAAGCUGAAAGAUGGUUUCGGCUAUCACUCAUAGAUGGACCCGCGGCGCAUUAGCUAGUUGGUGAGGUAACGGCUCACCAAGGCGACGAUGCGUAGCCGACCUGAGAGGGUGAUCGGCCACACUGGGACUGAGACACGGCCCAG
rnacentral:rRNA from 1 species